UGGGGAAUAUUGGACAAUGGGCGAAAGCCUGAUCCAGCCAUGCCGCGUGAGUGAUGAAGGUCUUAGGAUUGUAAAGCUCUUUCACCGGGGAAGAUAAUGACGGUAUCCGGAGAAGAAGCCCCGGCUAACUUCGUGCCAGCAGCCGCGGUAAUACGAAGGGGGCUAGCGUUGCUCGGAAUUACUGGGCGUAAAGGGAGCGUAGGCGGAUAGUUCAGUCAGAGGUGAAAGCCCAGGGCUCAACCUUGGAACUGCCUUUGAUACUGGCUAUCUUGAGUUUGGAGAGGUAUGUGGAACUCCGAGUGUAGAGGUGAAAUUCGUAGAUAUUCGGAAGAACACCAAUGGCGAAGGCGACAUACUGGCUCAUUACUGACGCUGAGGCGCGAAAGCGUGGGGAGCAAACAGGAUUAGAUACCCCUGUAGUCCCUGAGCGGGCUGGCAAGGCGCAU
rnacentral:rRNA from 1 species